UCCCUGGUGGUCCAAUGGCUAAGACUCCACGCUCCCAACGCAGGGUGCCCAGGUUCGAUCCCUGGUUAGGGAA
rfam:TPA: Bos taurus chromosome 11, whole genome shotgun sequence.